rnacentral:rRNA from 16 species
UGGAAUAAUGUAGGCAAGGGAAGUCAGCAAAACGGAUUUGUAACUUCGGUAAAAGGAUUGGCUCUGAGGACUGGGCUCGGGGGUCUCAGCCCCGAAACAGUCGGCUGUCGGCAGAUUGCUCGAGCUGCUCGCGCGGCGAGAGCGGGUCGCCGCGUGCUGGCCGGGGGACAGACCGGGAAUCGCCCCUUUGGGGACUUUCCCCGAGCAUGAAAAAGUCGACCAAAAUUGGUACGUGCAAGGAGAAUCCGACUUUUAAUUAAAACAAAUCAUUGGGAUGGUCCUUGCGGAUGCUGACGCAAUGUGAUUUCUGCCUAGUGCUCUAAAUGUAAAAGUGAAGAAAUUCAACCAAGCGCGGGUAAACGUCGGUAGUAACUAUGACUCCCUUAGGGUAGCCAAACGUCUUGUCAUCUAAUUAGUGACGCGCAUGAAUGGAUUAACGACAUUCCCACUGUCCGUGUCUACUAUCCAGCGAAACCAUAUCCAAGGGAAUAGGCUUGG